rnacentral:rRNA from 1 species
AUCUCGGCUCUCGCAUCGAUGAAGAACGUAGCGAAAUGCGAUACCUGGUGUGAAUUGCAGAAUCCCGCGAACCAUCGAGUCUUUGAACGCAAGUUGCGCCCGAGGCCUUCUGGCCGAGGGCACGCCUGCCUGGGCGUCACGCCAAACACGCUCCCCUCACUAAU